CCCCGGCGCGGUCCGCGCCAAGGAACUUUAACGAAAGAGUGCCUUCGGCCGCCUCGGAAACGGUGUGCGUGCGGGAGGUGAAUCUUGUCUAGAACCAUAACGACUCUCGGCAACGGAUAUCUCGGCUCUCGCAUCGAUGAAGAACGUAGCGAAAUGCGAUACUUGGUGUGAAUUGCAGAAUCCCGCGAAUCAUCGAGUCUUUGAACGCAAGUUGCGCCCGAAGCCACCUGGCCGAGGGCACGUCUGCCUGGGUGUCACGCAUCGUUGCCCCCAACCCCAUCUCCUUGCAAAGGGACGAGGGGGCCUGUGGGGCAGAAAUUGGCCUCCCGUGAGCUCAUGCAUGCGGUUGGCCUAAAAGCGAGUCCUCGGCGACGCGCGCCACGACAAUCGGUGGUUGUCAAACCCUCGUGUCCCGUCGUGCGUGCCGCGUCGCUCAUCGUGUGCUCCUUGACCCUGCUGUGUCGCGCUAGCGACGCUUCCAACGCGACCCCAGGUCAGGCGGGACUACCCGCUGAA
rnacentral:rRNA from 1 species